rnacentral:rRNA from 1 species
UAGUCCUAGCCGUAAACGAUGGACACUAGAUGUUGGAUCCAAUUUAUUGGAUUCAGUGUCGCAGCUAACGCAUUAAGUGAUCCACCUGGGGAGUACGAUCGCAAGGUUGAAACUCAAAGGAAUUGACGGGGGCCCGCACAAGCGGAGGAACAUGUGGUUUAAUUCGAUGAUACGCGAGGAACCUUACCUGGGCUUAAAUGUAGGAUGCAUAAGGUGGAAACACUUUUUUCCUUCGGGACUUCUUACAAGGUGCUGCAUGGUUGUCGUCAGCUCGUGCCGUGAGGUGUCGGGUUAAGUCCCAUAACGAGCGCAACCCCUACCGUUAGUUGCCAUCAGGUCAUGCUGGGGACUCUAGCGGGACUGCCACCGUAAGGUGAGAGGAAGGUGGGGAUGACGUCAAAUCAGCACGGCCCUUAUGUCCAGGGCUACACACGUGUUACAAUGGCAGGUACAAAGGGCAGCUACACAGCAAUGUGAUGCUAAUCUCUAAAGCCUGUCCC